CGAAGACACAGGAGCAGCUCCUCAGGGGAGAAGAUUUGGAAUCACUAAAAUUGUAUCAAGAGUGAGAUACCGGGAUGGAGAACGUGCAGGAAUGUGCAUUGAUAGUCCUGUGGCUUCAGCUUGGCUGGUUGAGUGGAGACGACCAGGUGGAGCAGAGUCCUCAGACCCUGAAAACCCAGGAGGGAAACAGUAUCAGCCUCAACUGCAGCUACACCGUCAGCAGUUUUAGAGGGCUACAGUGGUACAGACAAGAUCCUGGGAAGGGCCCCGAGCUCCUCUUCCUCCUUUCCUCAGUUGGGGAUGAAAAGCAGAGAGAAAGACUAAGAGCCACCCUGUUAAAGAAAGGAAGUGCUCUGCACAUCGAAGCCUCUAAACCCGAAGACUCAGCUACUUACCUCUGUGCUGUGGAGACACAGUGCUCCCCAGGCACCUGCAGCCUGUACACAAACCCCGCAGUUGGCUCCAGACACACCCUGCUGUGUAAAUAA